GUGGGAUGCAUUUAUAUAUAUACCAUGUGUGCAAAGUUAUAAAUAAUAGGGGUUUUUAAUGCCCGAUUCAUUUAUGGACCGGAUUUUAACUUUUAAGCUCUGUUAACUUUUUAUAUAACUUUCGAUCCAUUUUUAAUGAGGCUUUAACUUUUACUCCUCGUGAGGCAAAAAUAUCCCUAAUUUAAUAUCAUACUUUUUUUCUAUUUCUCUAUAUGUGA
rnacentral:lncRNA from 1 species